rnacentral:rRNA from 1 species
AGUGAACGCUGGCGGUAGGCCUAACACAUGCAAGUCGAACGGCAGCACAGAGGAGCUUGCUCCUUGGGUGGCGAGUGGCGGACGGGUGAGGAAUACAUCGGAAUCUACUCUGUCGUGGGGGAUAACGUAGGGAAACUUACGCUAAUACCGCAUACGACCUACGGGUGAAAGCAGGGGAUCUUCGGACCUUGCGCGAUUGAAUGAGCCGAUGUCGGAUUUGCUAGUUGGCGGGGUAAAGGCCCACCAAGGCGACGAUCCGUAGCUGGUCUGGGAGAAUGAUCAGCCACACUGGAACUGAGACACGGUCCAGACUCCUACGGGAGGCAGCAGUGGGGAAUAUUGGACAAUGGGCGCAAGCCUGAGCCAGCCAUACCGCGUGGGUGAAGAAGGCCGUCGGGUUGUAAAGCCCUUUUGUUGGGAAAGAAGUCCAUCUGGUUAAUACCCGGGUGGGAUGACGGUACCCAAAGAAUAAGCACCGGCUAACUUCGUGCCAGCCGCCGCGGUAA